GUCUCCGGAUCUCUACAAUUCCCCUCUGUCCGCCUUCCUUCCAUCUCUUGGGCAGCCUGACAUUUGACGAGGACAGACUCACAGAAUAAAAAUGUUCCAAAUGAGUGGCUGGAAAAAGUGACAUCAUGGGAAACAAGAAUCAAAUCCAGAGGCCGUGCCUGCUGUCUGUAUUACAAUCAGUAUCCACACUUUAACACAGGGUGAAAUGGGACUCUGCAAACACCAGAACUGUAGCUCCAGUUGGCCCAAUGUAUUCUACCAAGACCUCAGGAAUUCCCGGCUCCUCUUGUUCCAGCAAGUACGACUUUCUGACCUGCAGGGCAUCCACUAAGGAAGGAGAGAGGAAACGUGACAUCUAAUCAAGAAAUAUUGAAACAGUUCAUCUGUUAGAGAUUUACACUUGCUGUGGCUGUUCUGAAGGUAGAACUGAAACCAAUGAGUAAGAAUCAAGGAGAGGUAGAUUUCUUCUUCAUACGUGGAGGAAUUUUGCAAUAAUUAAAAUUGCUUGAAAAAGAGGUUGUUUCAUUGGGGAAUGGAUCGCUCUAGCCCCCAGCCCUCCCAUCACUCUGCAUUCAAGCAGAGCCGGGCUGGAUAUGCAGGGAGCUUUCCACAUUGACUAGGACACCGGUGCUGGUUUAACACAGAUCCUGAAACCAGGGGAGCACUUUAGCAAUAUAUAGACCUACUGGAUGAGAAUCUAGGAUAGAAGGGGAGCCUCGCAUUGUGCACUUUUAACAAGCUGCCUAAAUGAUCUAAUGGCAGCUCUCUAGGCACCAGGACUCGACCUGGUGUAGGUGAAC